GACGAACGCUGGCGGCGUGGAUUAGGCAUGCAAGUCGAACGGUAUCAUCCUUUCGGGGGUGAGAGAGUGGCGAACUGGUGAGUAACACGUAGGUUAUCUACCCUCAAGACGGGGACAACCCAGGGAAACUUGGGCUAAUACCGGAUGUGAGCAACUUUUAGUUGUUUGAAAGGUGGCGUAAGCUGUCGCUUGGGGAUGAGCCUGCGUCCUAUUAGUUAGUUGGUGAGGUAACGGCUCACCUAGGCAAUGAUAGGUAGGCGGCCUUAACGGGUGGUCGCCCACACUGGGAUUGAGAUACGGCCCAGACUCCUACGGGAGGCAGCAGUCGAGAAUAGUCUACAAUGGUCGGAAGACUGAUAGUGCGACGCCGCGUGAACGAUGAAUCCCUUCGGGGUGUAAAGUUCUUUUAUAUGUGAGCAGUGCUUCUUAUAUUAACAGUAUGGGGAAGAGAUAUUAGCAUAUGAAUAAGCAAACGGCUAAACUCCGUGCCAGCAGCCGCGGUAAACUCG
rnacentral:rRNA from 1 species